rnacentral:lncRNA from 1 species
CUUCUCUCUCCUCCCUCUGGUUUCUCCGCCUUCUCUCCUCCUAUUUGCAGUCUGAGUUUCUCCGAUGACCGGUGCGUGGUGGUUUCGUUAACGCCAGCUCCGGUCCCAACCUGCUUAGUUUUCCUUCUAUUUAACAUAUGUUCUGCGUGUAGCGACUAGAAUCUAUUUUGAGGGAGAUUUUGGUUGGAAAAGCUUUAGCUUUCUUUCUCAGAUCUGUGUUAGAUUUCUGAAGUGAAAUACCGGAUCGUUAGAUCAACGGUUUGUUUCUCAAUUCCUUUCUCUAUCUUGUUACUGGUGAGAUUUUGGGUGGGCUUGUUCACUUUUUUGGAAGCUGCUGUGGAUUCUUUCCAGUUCUGUAGUGAGCCAGACAUGUGCGAUUGGUGUCUCUGAGUUCGGUUAGGCUUGGUUCCUUGUUUCUCUGUCAGAUCCAGGUGUGAUCUGGUUUCUUCAUAAGCUCCAUCACUAGGCAUUCAACGGUCGUGUUUGCCCUGCCGUUUCCAAGAGUGUGGUGAAUAUGUUGAUUCCAACUUGUCGAAAGGUGUAGUUUGGUUAUUUGGUCCUGAGGUAUUGCCUCGUUGUUCAAAGAGGAAGUGGCUUAUUGGUGGUUUGGUCGAGGACAAUCUCUAUAAAUAUCUUUCAUGGAGUUCUGAAUCUGUUGUUUCAUGCUCGUUUCGAAUCUACGCCGGUGAGUUUUGUUUUCAGUUGUCUUUAUUUUUAUUUAUUGUUAUGUGUAUGUGUUUGUUAGAAUCCCUUGUAAGGGCUUAGUUUCCAAGGUUGGUGUGACCGUUGGCUUGUGUACCGGGUGUAAUCUUUUCGGUGUAAAACCACAAUCUUGUAAUCGUUCGUGUUUUUUCUUAAUAAAAUCAGGUGAAAAAAAAGAGUUGAAAAAUAUAAACAG